GGAGUUAGCCGGUGCUUCUUCUGUGAGUGAUGUCCUUCCUGCCGGCUAUUAACCCGCAGGCCUUCUUCCUCACUGAAAGUGCUUUACAACCCGAAGGCCUUCUUCACACACGCGGCAUGGCUGGAUCAGGGUUGCCCCCAUUGUCCAAUAUUCCCCACUGCUGCCUCCCGUAGGAGUCUGGUCCGUGUCUCAGUCCCAGUGUGGCUGAUCAUCCUCUCAGACCAGCUACGGAUCGUCGCCUUGGUGAGCCGUUACCUCACCAACCAGCUAAUCCGACAUAGGCUCAUCCGAUAGCGCGAGGCCCGAAGGUCCCCCGCUUUCCCCCGUAGGGCGUAUGCGGUAUUAGCCUGGGUUUCCCCAGGUUAUCCCCCACUACCGGGCAGAUUCCUAUGCAUUACUCACCCGUCCGCCGCUCGCCACCAGGGAGCAAGCUCCCCGUGCUGCCGCUCGACUUGCAUGUGUUAGGCCUGCCGCCAGCGUUCAAUCUGAGCCAUAAUCAAACUCUGA
rnacentral:rRNA from 1 species